rnacentral:rRNA from 1 species
GACGAACGCUGGCGGCGUGCUUAACACAUGCAAGUCGAACGGAAAGGCCCUGCUUUUGUGGGGUGCUCGAGUGGCGAACGGGUGAGUAACACGUGAGUAACCUGCCUUUUACUUUGGGAUAACUUCAGGAAACUGGGGCUAAUACCGGAUAGUAGCUGCUGCUCGCUGGGGGGGGUGGGAAAGGUGCUGCGGUUGGGGAUGGACGCGCGGCUGCGUAGCUGGUUGGUGGGGAAGUGGCUUACCAACGGUUGGACGGGUAGCCGGACCGGGAGGGUGACCGGCCACAUUGGGCCUGAGAUACGGCCCAGGCUAGUAGGGGAGGCAGCAGUGGGGAGUAUUGUCCACUGGGGCGGAGCCUGAGCCAGAGACGUCGCGGGCGUGAUGACGUCCAUCGGGUUGGAACACGCUUUAGCCUGUGACGAAGCUGGAGUGACGGUAAUGGGUAAAGAAGCACCGGCUAACUACGUG